GUUGUCUUACCUCGGUGCGGCGGAGGCGCUGGGCGCCGGUGAGAGAGGCCGCAGGAAGGAGCCGCGUGGGACCCCGGCCUGCGCCCAGUCAAUCUGAUUCUGGUUUCAAACCCAAAGUCCACACACCGAGUUGAAGAAGAAUCCCUUUGAAUCUGGAGCAGGACUUAGUCACCUUAAAUGUCC
rnacentral:lncRNA from 1 species